rnacentral:snoRNA from 1 species
AAGACUAUAUUUUCAGGGAUUAUUUCUACAGUUCAUUUCUAGAGAAGUUCAUUACCAGAGUAGUUUCUCUGAUCAUGUAGAGCACCUUAUGGAGGAGUCACAGCUUCCUUUUCUGAGUGUGAACCCAAUUCUAGGCGUUGCUUCUGUGGUUGCCUUUUACCUUUGAUGAGAUUGCUUCUUCUCUUCACUUAAGAGAAGAAGAGGGAGCAGAUGCCGUUUGAGUGG